GAUUUAGUUAAUCAGUGAUACAAGUAAUUGCGGGAUCGUAAAUUUACCCAUUCUCCAAAAUGAAUUUCAAAAGGCUAUUCGUUUUCGUCAUUUUUGCCGUGCUGGUUUUGACUGACCAAACCGAAGCCGGAAAGUUGAAGAAGCUGGGCAAAAAGAUUGAAAAGGCUGGCAAAAACGUAGUUCAUGCUGUCGAUAAGGUGAUACCAACUGUCCUAGGGUUACAACAAAUCCGUGAAAACGAGAACAACAAAGAUAAAAACUAAAUAUGCAAGUAAACAAAUAAUUUAAAUGUUAGCUGAAGAGUAAGAAAAUAAAUUUGAUGAUCA
rnacentral:lncRNA from 1 species